GAUGAAGAACGUAGCGAAAUGCGAUACUUGGUGUGAAUUGCAGAAUCCCGUGAACCAUCGAGUCUUUGAACGCACGUUGCGCCUCAAGCCAUUAGGUUGAGGGCACGUCUGCCUGGGCGUCACAUAUCGUUGCCUGAUGCCAGUUUCCUCGUGAUGGGUGACUGUGCAGGGCGAAUGAUGGCUUCCCGUGAGCAUUGUUGCCUCAUGGUUGGUUGAAAAUUGAGUCCUUGGUAGGGAGCGCCGUGAUAGAUGGUGGUUGAGUGACGAACGAGACCCAAUCAUGUGAGACCCCUACCGAAUUUGGCCUUCAUGACCCACAUGCGUCUUUGGAACGCUCAUGACGAGACCUCAGGUCAGGCGGGGCUACCCGCUGAGUUUAAGCAUAUCAAUAAGCGGAGGA
rnacentral:misc_RNA from 1 species